GAACUUGGUUUAUGGUCCCUGCCUG
rnacentral:piRNA from 1 species